UACGUAGGGUGCGAGCGUUAAUCGGAAUUACUGGGCGUAAAGCGUGCGCAGGCGGUGAUGUAAGACAGAUGUGAAAUCCCCGGGCUCAACCUGGGAACUGCAUUGUGACUGCAUCGCUGGAGUGCGGCAGAGGGGGAUGGAAUUCCGCGUGUAGCAGUGAAAUGCGUAGAUAUGCGGAGGAACACCGAUGGCGAAGGCAAUCCCCUGGGCCUGCACUGACGCUCAUGCACGAAAGCGUGGGGAGCAACAGG
rnacentral:rRNA from 1 species